rnacentral:rRNA from 1 species
UUAAGCGACUAAGCGUACACGGUGGAUGCCCUGGCAGUCAGAGGCGAUGAAGGGCGUGCUAAUCUGCGAUAAGCGCCGGUAAGGUGAUAUGAACCGUUAUAACCGGCGAUACCCGAAUGGGGAAACCCAGUGUGACUCGUCACACUAUCAUUAACUGAAUCCAUAGGUUAAUGAGGCGAACCGGGGGAACUGAAACAUCUAAGUACCCCGAGGAAAAGAAAUCAACCGAGAUUCCCCCAGUAGCGGCGAGCGAACGGGGAGGAGCCCAGAGCCUGAAUCAGCAUGUGUGUUAGUGGAAGCGUCUGGAAAGGCGCGCGAUACAGGGUGACAGCCCCGUACACAAAAGCGCAUGUGCUGUGAGCUCGAUGAGUAGGGCGGGACACGUGGUAUCCUGUCUGAAUAUGGGGGGACCAUCCUCCAAGGCUAAAUACUCCUGACUGACCGAUAGUGAACCAGUACCGUGAGGGAAAGGCGAAAAGAACCCCGGCGAGGGGAGUGAAAAAGAACCUGAAACCGUGUACGUACAAGCAGUGGGAGCCCCACCACCAAAGCGUUUCGCUUUGUGUGGUGCACAAAGAAGCGUAACGACAGCACUGAAUGACGGUUAACGGAGCGCAAGCGACGUUCAACAUACAAAGUCAAGCAGUGGAGCGCUUUGGGGUGGGGUGACUGCGUACCUUUUGUAUAAUGGGUCAGCGACUUAUAUUCUGUAGCAAGGUUAACCGAAUAGGGGAGCCGGAGGGAAACCGAGUCUUAACCGGGCGUUAAGUUGCAGGGUAUAGACCCGAAACCCGGUGAUCUAGCCAUGGGCAGGUUGAAGGUUGGGUAACACUAACUGGAGGACCGAACCGACUAAUGUUGAAAAAUUAGCGGAUGACCUGUGGCUGGGGGUGAAAGGCCAAUCAAACCGGGAGAUAGCUGGUUCUCCCCGAAAGCUAUUUAGGUAGCGCCUCGUGAAUUCAUCUCCGGGGGUAGAGCACUGUUUCGGCUAGGGGGCCAUCCCGGCUUACCAACCCGAUGCAAACUGCGAAUACCGGAGAAUGUUAUCACGGGAGACACACGGCGGGUGCUAACGUCCGUCGUGAAGAGGGAAACAACCCAGACCGCCAGCUAAGGUCCCAAAGUCAUGGUUAAGUGGGAAACGAUGUGGGAAGGCCCAGACAGCCAGGAUGUUGGCUUAGAAGCAGCCAUCAUUUAAAGAAAGCGUAAUAGCUCACUGGUCGAGUCGGCCUGCGCGGAAGAUGUAACGGGGCUAAACCAUGCACCGAAGCUGCGGCAGCGACGCUUAUGCGUUGUUGGGUAGGGGAGCGUUCUGUAAGCCUGUGAAGGUGGCCUGUGAGGGUUGCUGGAGGUAUCAGAAGUGCGAAUGCUGACAUAAGUAACGAUAAAGCGGGUGAAAAGCCCGCUCGCCGGAAGACCAAGGGUUCCUGUCCAACGUUAAUCGGGGCAGGGUGAGUCGACCCCUAAGGCGAGGCCGAAAGGCGUAGUCGAUGGGAAACGGGUUAAUAUUCCCGUACUUGGUGUUACUGCGAAGGGGGGACGGAGAAGGCUAUGUUGGCCGGGCGACGGUUGUCCCGGUUUAAGCGUGUAGGUGUGUGUUCCAGGUAAAUCCGGUUCACUUUAACACUGAGGCGUGACGACGAGGCACUACGGUGCUGAAGCAACAAAUGCCCUGCUUCCAGGAAAAGCCUCUAAGCAUCAGGUAACAUCAAAUCGUACCCCAAACCGACACAGGUGGUCAGGUAGAGAAUACCAAGGCGCUUGAGAGAACUCGGGUGAAGGAACUAGGCAAAAUGGUGCCGUAACUUCGGGAGAAGGCACGCUGACACGUAGGUGAAGUGAUUUACUCACGGAGCUGAAGUCAGUCGAAGAUACCAGCUGGCUGCAACUGUUUAUUAAAAACACAGCACUGUGCAAACACGAAAGUGGACGUAUACGGUGUGACGCCUGCCCGGUGCCGGAAGGUUAAUUGAUGGGGUCAGCGCAAGCGAAGCUCCUGAUCGAAGCCCCGGUAAACGGCGGCCGUAACUAUAACGGUCCUAAGGUAGCGAAAUUCCUUGUCGGGUAAGUUCCGACCUGCACGAAUGGCGUAAUGAUGGCCAGGCUGUCUCCACCCGAGACUCAGUGAAAUUGAACUCGCUGUGAAGAUGCAGUGUACCCGCGGCAAGACGGAAAGACCCCGUGAACCUUUACUAUAGCUUGACACUGAACAUUGAGCCUUGAUGUGUAGGAUAGGUGGGAGGCUUUGAAGUGUGGACGCCAGUCUGCAUGGAGCCGACCUUGAAAUACCACCCUUUAAUGUUUGAUGUUCUAACGUGGACCCGUAAUCCGGGUUGCGGACAGUGUCUGGUGGGUAGUUUGACUGGGGCGGUCUCCUCCUAAAGAGUAACGGAGGAGCACGAAGGUUGGCUAAUCCUGGUCGGACAUCAGGAGGUUAGUGCAAUGGCAUAAGCCAGCUUGACUGCGAGCGUGACGGCGCGAGCAGGUGCGAAAGCAGGUCAUAGUGAUCCGGUGGUUCUGAAUGGAAGGGCCAUCGCUCAACGGAUAAAAGGUACUCCGGGGAUAACAGGCUGAUACCGCCCAAGAGUUCAUAUCGACGGCGGUGUUUGGCACCUCGAUGUCGGCUCAUCACAUCCUGGGGCUGAAGUAGGUCCCAAGGGUAUGGCUGUUCGCCAUUUAAAGUGGUACGCGAGCUGGGUUUAGAACGUCGUGAGACAGUUCGGUCCCUAUCUGCCGUGGGCGCUGGAGAACUGAGGGGGGCUGCUCCUAGUACGAGAGGACCGGAGUGGACGCAUCACUGGUGUUCGGGUUGUCAUGCCAAUGGCACUGCCCGGUAGCUAAAUGCGGAAGAGAUAAGUGCUGAAAGCAUCUAAGCACGAAACUUGCCCCGAGAUGAGUUCUCCCUGAGACUUAGAGUCUCCUGAAGGAACGUUGAAGACGACGACGUUGAUAGGCCGGGUGUGUAAGCGCAGCGAUGCGUUGAGCUAACCGGUACUAAUGAACCGUGAGGCUUAACCUU